GGAGUUGUGGCUCAGUGGUAGAGCGCUCGCCUAGCAAGUGUGAGGCCCUGAGUUCGAACCUCAGCACCA
rnacentral:tRNA from 1 species